GUUUCGAUAGCUCAGUGGUAGAGCGUGGGAUUGCAAAUCCUGAGGUCAUGGGUUCAAGUCCCAUUCGAAGCU